AGUGAACGCUGGCGGUAGGCCUAACACAUGCAAGUCGAACGGCAGCACAGUAAGAGCUUGCUCUUACGGGUGGCGAGUGGCGGACGGGUGAGGAAUACAUCGGAAUCUACUUUUUCGUGGGGGAUAAUGUAGGGAAACUUACGCUAAUACCGCAUACGACCUACGGGUGAAAGCAGGGGAUCUUCGGACCUUGCGCGAUUGAAUGAGCCGAUGUCGGAUUAGCUAGUUGGCGGGGUAAAGGCCCACCAAGGCGACGAUCCGUAGCUGGUCUGAGAGGAUGAUCAGCCACACUGGAACUGAGACACGGUCCAGACUCCUACGGGAGGCGGCAGUGGGGAAUAUUGGACAAUGGGCGCAAGCCUGAUCCAGCCAUACCGCGUGGGUGAAGAAGGCCUUCGGGUUGUAAAGCCCUUUUGUUGGGAAAGAAAAGCAGCAGGUUAAUACCCCGCUGUCCUGACGGUACCCAAAGAAUAAGCACCGGCUAACUUCGUG
rnacentral:rRNA from 1 species